AGCGAACGCUGGCGGCAGGCCUAACACAUGCAAGUCGAACGGGCGUAGCAAUACGUCAGUGGCAGACGGGAGAGUAACACGUGGGAACGUGCCCUUUGGUUCGGAACAACCCAGGGAAACUUGGGCUAAUACCGGAUAAGCCCUCACGGGGAAAGAUUUAUCGCCGAAGGAUCGGCCCGCGUCUGAUUAGCUAGUUGGUGGGGUAAUGGCCCACCAAGGCGACGAUCAGUAGCUGGUCUGAGAGGAUGAUCAGCCUCACUGGGACUGAGACACGGCCCAGACUCCUACGGGAGGCAGCAGUGGGGAAUAUUGGACAAUGGGCGCAAGCCUGAUCCAGCCAUGCCGCGUGGGUGAUGAAGGCCUUAGGGUUGUAAAGCCCUUUCGGCGGGGAAGAUAAUGACGGUACCCGCAGAAGAAGCCCCGGCCAACUUCGUGCCAGCAGCCGCCGUAACAC
rnacentral:rRNA from 1 species